AAAACAAGUCUUUUCCUUCCUUUCUCUCUCUUUCUCUAGAUAUUAUUAUUUUCUAGGGUUUUUCAUUUUUCUAGGGUUUCUUUCACUCGCUCUUGCCCUCUUUAAUCAUUUUAGGGUUUCAAAAAAGAGGGUAAGAAGAGAAGAAGAAGAUCUCUCUAUCUUCGCUAUGGCUUCCCAAGGAGGAAUUGACCCUGUUAUUCUCGAUGAUAUCAUUAAUCGGCUUUUAGAAGUUCGUUCAGCCAGACCUGGUAAACAAGUUCAGCUUUCUGAAGCUGAGAUCCGACAGCUUUGUGUUGCCUCUAGAGAGAUUUUUCUUCAACAACCUAAUUUAUUAGAGCUUGAAGCUCCUAUUAAGAUCUGUGGGGACAUUCAUGGGCAAUAUGGGGAUCUUUUAAGGCUUUUCGAGUAUGGGGGAUUACCUCCCCAAGCCAACUAUUUAUUCCUAGGUGAUUACGUUGAUAGGGGAAAACAGAGUUUGGAAACAAUAUGCCUUCUACUGGCUUACAAAAUCAAGUACCCAGAGAAUUUUUUUCUUCUACGAGGAAAUCAUGAAUGUGCUUCUAUUAAUCGGAUAUAUGGGUUUUAUGAUGAAUGUAAGAGACGGUUUAAUGUUAGACUCUGGAAAGCCUUUACCGAUUGUUUCAAUUGCCUUCCCGUGGCAGCUCUUAUAGACGAUAAGAUAUUAUGCAUGCAUGGUGGACUUUCCCCUGAUUUGGCAAAUUUAGAUCAGAUUAGAAACAUAACUCGUCCUGUGGAUGUUCCAGACACUGGUCUGCUCUGUGAUUUACUGUGGUCAGAUCCUGGUAGAGAUUCUAAGGGGUGGGGAAUGAACGACAGAGGAGUUUCAUACACUUUCGGCGCUGAUGCAGUAGCAGAAUUCCUAAUGAAGCAGGACCUGGAUCUUGUUUGCCGUGCUCAUCAGGUCGUGGAGGAUGGUUACGAGUUCUUCGCUGACAGACAGCUUGUGACGAUAUUUUCAGCCCCAAACUACUGCGGUGAAUUCGACAAUGCUGGUGCAAUGAUGAGUGUUGAUGAAAGUCUAAUGUGCUCUUUCCAAAUUCUUAAGCCAGCAGAGAAAAAAAAGUUCAUGAUGUCAACAAAAAUAUGAUAUCAUUAUUCCUCAAUACGAGUUGAUCUUGAUAAGAAUUUCUGAUUGUUGCCUACUUGCCUUAAACCAUGAAAUGAGCCACAAGUAGGCUACUGAAGUAGUGUUUACUCUGUUGUGGUUGAUCUCGGUCGGACAAAUCUAUCAAACGCAUAUGCGAGCAAGGUCUCAAGCAUCUAUAGAACACAUGGAGAUACUAACUUGGUGCCCCUCUCCCAAGUUGGUUCAGGGUUCUAGAAUAUAGUUGUUUUAAAUUCUGCGAGACAAGAUUAUUAUCACAAGAGAGGAGUUUCAUCUCCCUGUAAUCCUUGUGUUUUGCGGGCAACUGCAGUAUGUGUAAUGCAGAGAGAAGGCAAGGCAAAUGCCAGAUUAUUAUUUUUUAUAUCUUAUUUACCUUUCUUCUUCCCACUUAGUUCUGUUUUGUCAUUGUCCUUGUACAUCUAUUUCCUUAAUGUUUUCUUUUGUUAACCUUUUGAUAUUCAUGAAAAUACAUUCAACUGGUAUCAUCCUGUA